UUCUAUGUCGGUGCUUCUAUCCUCAUUAUUUAAAGUUACGUGUCUUUUACCGAUUUUUGUCCGCAUCGUCCAUAAGGAGGCCGCACUGUGAUGCGCUGCGAUCGGAAAACUCAUUUUGAACCAAUCGGACAUCAGGAAAAGCUACCGCCAAAGAGAAAUUGAUUCAAAAAUUCUCCAACAUAUCAAAAGAAGAGAAGGGGGAUGAAAUUCUUCCAAGGUGAAGUAAAUAAUUGAAAUUAAUUGUAAUACUUCCUUAUUUCGAUGGAACUCAUCGUUAAAUAAUAAUAUGCAAUCAGGAACUUGUUGGAAUUUUCUAAUUCAGUGCGAAACGUUUUAUUUUGCUCUAAUCGCACUAUCAAUAUUUUCGUCAGAGCAGACCGGAAAUGACGUAACGCUCAGUCCGGAAAAGGAACUCUGAACUCAAAAAGCCUCUAGUGACAUGAGUUGGCAACAAGGUAUUGAUUGAAAUGUUUUCGUUUCCGUUUCCGUCUCAAAACAGUUUUCAACCAGUCGCAGCCAGUCGGCCACCCAGCGAAUUUUCAAAGCUAUCUGACUGAACCAGACUGAACACACAUCAUCAUCUGAAGCAAAUUUCGAAAUAAAUCAGGGUAGAGGUAUGAUGAAGCUUGUGAGUUUAAUCUAGGUCUUCGGAUGGGUGGAGGUGAAUCAGGGUCUGCGUUUAUCAAUGGUGUACCUUUCUUUAAGAAAUAGGAGCGUUCAGAUUUGUGAAAUGGACCAUUACACGAAUAAUGAAAAUGUUUCCCAUGAUGAGUUCAUGAGGCAAUUAGAAGAAGACACCCAGCUGCUUGACUCAAUGCUGAAAGAAACGCGUCGCAUGAGAGAAGCAGCUGAGAGACACGAAAUGAAUUUCAUGGCUGAUACGACCACAAGCACGGGUGCAAUUGAGGAACUAAGAAAAGAAAUUGAGGAGAUUCAGGCCAGGAUUGUCAUGAUUGAUGCUCGGAUUGAGGACUUUAAGGGAAACUCGGUUGACAAGACCGUACCUCAGAAUCAAAUUGAAGAACUCGGAAACUCUAAGGAGAUUCUAGUUGAGACCGUACCCCAGAAUCAAAUUGAAGAACUCGGAAACUCUGCACAGAUUUUGGUUGAGACCAUACAUCAGAAUCAAAUCAAGGAACUUGAAAAAGAAUCUGUGGACACACCGGCCAACACAAAAAACUCUGAAACACAGCCUCAUAAUAUUUAUAAUUUCUAA
rnacentral:lncRNA from 1 species